rnacentral:lncRNA from 1 species
AGAAGGGCCGCAAGAUGAGAAGUCUGUGUUUCUGGCCGGUGCAUCUUUGCGUGUUGCUCUUUUUUGGCAGGUUGUUUACGUACCGACCAAUUAAUUCAAUGACUUCCCUCUCAUAAUUCUUAACAAUCCGUUUUGUCAAAUUGAACAGAGCCGUUUUUGCCAAUUCAAACACGAUGCUUCUUCCUUGAUUACUGAUAAAGCUGGUCUCGUCCCAAUGCAGGCAAUGGUUUGCUUAGACACUCCUUGUAUCUGACAUCAUUCAAUUCAAUAGUUGAUUAUAUAAUAUUAAAUUUAUAUUCACUUAUCUUCUUAAGUUUUUCGAUAGUAAAUUUAUUUUCACCUAUCAUCUUAAGUUUUUGGAUAGUUUGAUUUAAAACGAUAUCAUAGUAAGUGCUCGAGGUGGAGGAAAAGAACACUUCAAUUGUGAGGCUUCAGUGACUUCUUCUAUUUACAGGGUUUCAGUUCUUACAAUUACUAUGCACAACAAGUUCUUUUGAGGAAUAUAUCAGAUACUUUAGGCAGAGGAUAGAAAGUAACUAUAGCAAAUUACUGGUGCACUUGAGCAAAUGUAUACAUUACUACAACUGGGUCAUCUUCUGCAAAUUCAAAAAGCCUACAUACAAAUGCAUCACUCUCCUCAAAACUCUAACAAAAGCAAGUCCAAUCCAAUGCAGAAAUUUGGCAAAACUAACUAUAUACAGUGAAGUAUUGGAAUAGGUUUGACAUUGACCACUCGUAUCAAAGGGAAGAAAUUUCCAAGGCAUUGGUUGCUCUCAUGUUUGAAGUAACACUUACUAAACUUUAAACUUUUCUUUAGUUCUUCAUAUGAAGUGAAUAUUGAAGAAGACGGUGUUGAGUUUCACGGAUUUUUUCGUUGUUUCUGCCAUAUUUUGGUUAAGAAGGUAGAAAGGAUUUGAUGGUCCACAUUUGUUCAACUCAGUCCUCUCUCCCUCGUGAGUUUUUCAGAUGAAGGUUCUCUCUCAGCCUCAAUUGGCCAUUGACAGAUAGUAAUGGCUUUGAAAGCUGAAACUCGUUUUGUAUGUUAGCAAUUUGCUAAUCUUAAAAAAUAGUACACCCCACGAGUACAUUUUUGUAAAAGAAAUAAAGUUUUUUUGACUGAAUUAUUGAAAGUUGUGAAAAUUUAUCUCUUAAGGGCCAAUGCAAUGUAUUUAUAGAAGCCGCACCAAUGUAUUUACCUUUCAAUAACCCGUUGGAUGUAGGUUAAAUAUUAGUGAACUACAAAUUCGAAAAAAGAAAAGGGAAAAUAGAUAUGGGCCUAACUCUAUAGGCCCAAUAAAGCCCAAGUAGUUCAUAGAAAAAACAAACUUUGUGUGUGAGUUAUUUAUUUAUUAAAAAAUAAUAAUAAAAAAAUAGUUAUUAAGGUCAUCUAUUUUAUUCAUUGAACUCUAAUUAUACUAUGUUUAUGAUAGAUUUAUAGCUCAACCGACCCAAAAAAUUAGAGGUUUGAUUCCUCUAUCUUCAUACAUUCAAAUUUUUGAAUUAAAAAUAAUCAUCUUAAAGGAUGACCCCGUCAAAGAUUAACUAAGAAUUGAGUGAAUCGUGAUCCAUUAUUCCUAAUUAAAGUUGCUCACAAACUCAAGACUUACUUGAAUAAGUUGAAUUGAGGAGUAUGUGGUUUGAUAUUAUACUUAUGCUAAAUUUCUAUUAUCUUGCAAAAAAAAAUUGAAUUGUUUUUACCAUAUAAGACAAACUACAGUUUAUUUCUUUUUCUAGCACAAUUAAUUAGUAUUAAAGAAAAAUAAAAACUAUUAAAAGAAAUGGAAAAACGAAUAGACUUAGUUUAGAAAGAAUAAAACAAAAACAAAAGAUGAAGGAGUACUUUAAAUAGUAUAGAAAAUCAAAUGCUAACCAUUGGUAUAAAAAAAAUAAAAAAAGAUUGGUCAAAGUAAUCGUUGGUUGUGGCCAAAUGCUAAGAAUCCCAACAUUAAAUUGAAUAGCGUAAGUAUGUGGUUGGUAUAACUUUAGUCAUUUUCGAGUUAAUCCAAACCUUCCUUAAAUAUUUUAUCAAUCCAAUGAAUAUUCUCAUUAGUUUUUAAUUACAUUCACUGGCAUUUGACAUUCAUUCUAUGAAUGGAAUAAUAUGAUUAAAUUAAUGUAUCUUAGUUUUAAAAGUAUUCGAACAUGAACAUAUGUCUAAUGAAGUAUUUUAGUAUAUGUUCAGAAAUUUAAUCAUACAAAAUUAACAUGGAAAACCAACCAAUUCUUUAACUCUCAUAUAUGUGGUGUUGCCCGUUGUCACCUAAUUGAUCCAUACUUUUCUUUAAUACCAAAUUUAAUCACAAAAACCUAUUCAACUACCUUAAAUUUUAUACGAUAACUCAUUUUAAAUGUUUUGGCUUUCAUAACCAUAUCAAUCAACAUUUAAGUAUUUAGUUUUGAAAAUAGAUAAGUAAAAUAAUCCAAGUAGGUUCAAAUUGACCAUAUUAUUGAAUUUUAAUUUGUCAUGUAGAGUUGUUUUACCCAUAUGUCUAUGAUUAAAGAUGUCCAUGCCUUAAUACUUGCCCACAAUGAAGCAACGACUUUCGAUGAGGCCGAAUGAAAAAGAGCAAAUAGAAAGAAAACCAUUUUAGACUAUUUUCUCAUUCUAUAUAGCCUCUUCAAUUGUUUCCACAUGUUAGCUCUUUUUUUUUUAUUUACUUAUAAUAAUUUCAUACUGUAUUAUUAUUAUUAUUAUUAUAUAAAUAUUUCUACUUGAACUUUCAUGUAUUAAUUAAUAAGGAAAACAAUGAAGUAUAAUAACUCAACUAGUAUGCAGUGAUGAAUAAAUUUGUGUUUGAAUCUGUUAAAAAUUGCAUUUUGUUUUCUUCUUUUGACAAAUUUUUAUAAACAAAAAUAACUUUCAACCCAUUAUAUACUAAUUAUUUUUUAACUAGAUUCAAUUUUACAAAAUGAUAACAUACAAAUCCAAAACUCGAAAAAAAGAUAAACAAAGUUAAAAAAUUGAUUUUGUAUUUUUUGAAGUUUAUUCUAUUAUUUUACUUUUUAAAUAUUUACCUUUUGCUUAUAUAUUUUUAAUAUUAAUUAUGUGAAGUUAACUAACAUAUAAAAUAUACUGAUAGGUAAUAGAAGGAUUUUUGAAAUUUAUGGAAAGAAUAUGGACGAAAAUUAGACAAUUGGCUAAAGAAUUUAUUAUUAUUAUUAUUAAAGUUAAAAAAAAUAUAUACGUUAAAAAAUCAAGAAUAUAAUUAUAUGCUUUACGGGAAAUGAAAUAAAAAAUAGCUUUACAUUAUUCUCCCUUUCUUAUCUUAUAACUUCUAAAUGAGUAGAGAGAUACAUACCCCACUACUAAUUAAUAAACCCUAAACCCAUAUAAACAAUUAAUUAAUUAGUGUUGUUUUAGUUAUGAAUUGUUCUCUCUCAGUGUAAUUAGUUAAACUGUGAUGUUCAAACAAUUUUAAACUAUUUCAUUAAAUUUUAGGCCGGAUUUUUUAAACAAUAAAUAAGAGACAAGUUGAAAACUCAUUUUCAACUGAUCAUGAAUAAAUAUUUUGAUGAAUUUGACUUUUUGUCUGUACAAAAACUCUUUAUUUUGAUUUUAUAUCUUCAGAACUCUAAAUUAGAGUAAUAGUCUUUUAAGAGAAAUUUUUGGCAAUAUCUAUGUUAGGGAUGAUUUUGAGUAUAUAUGAACUAUAGAAACAUAAGCAACAUGAUAAAGAAAAUAAUAAGAUUGAGUCAAAGUUAUUAGUACCUUUCCUUUUGGCCUUGACCCAAAUCAAUUAUAUGCUCUCUCUCGACCGAUGUAACAAAAUACCUAAAUGGGACGUGCCAAACUAAUUAAUAAUAUUGUUUUAGGAUCAAAAGGAGUCCAAAAGAAAGGCACUCUUCCACGAGAUAGAUGCAGUUAUUUAUUGGAGUGGUUGGCAUAAGGUUGUCACUUAGAGUUUUGGGAGUCAGUUUGAAGUAAUU